AACGCUAGCUACAGGCUUAACACAUGCAAGUCGAGGGGAAACGAUAGAGAAAGCUUGCUUUUUCUAGGCGUCGACCGGCGCACGGGUGAGUAACGCGUAUCCAACCUGCCCACCACUUGGGAAUAACCUUGCGAAAGUAAGACUAAUACCCAAUGAUAUCUCUAGAAGACAUCUGAAGGAGAUUAAAGAUUUAUCGGUGAUGGAUGGGGAUGCGUCUGAUUAGCUUGUUGGCGGGGUAACGGCCCACCAAGGCGACGAUCAGUAGGGGUUCUGAGAGGAAGGUCCCCCACAUUGGAACUGAGACACGGUCCAAACUCCUACGGGAGGCAGCAGUGAGGAAUAUUGGUCAAUGGACGAGAGUCUGAACCAGCCAAGUAGCGUGCAGGAUGACGGCCCUAUGGGUUGUAAACUGCUUUUAUAAGGGAAUAAAGUGAGUCUCGUGAGGCUUUUUGCAUGUACCUUAUGAAUAAGGACCGGCUAAUUCCGUGCCAGCAGCCGCGGUAAUACGGAAGGUCCGGGCGUUAUCCGGAUUUAUUGGGUUUAAAGGGAGCGUAGGCCGGAGAUUAAGCGUGUUGUGAAAUGUAGAUGCUCAACAUCUGCACUGCAGCGCGAACUGGUUUCCUUGAGUACGCAUAAAGUGGGCGGAAUUUGUGGUGUAGCGGUGAAAUGCUUAGAUAUCACGAAGAACUCCGAUUGCGAAGGCAGCUCACUGGGGCGCAACUGACGCUGAAGCUCGAAAGCGCGGGUAUCGAACAGGAUUAGAUACCCUGGUAGUCCGCGCGGUAAACGAUGGAUGCCCGCUGUUGGGCCAACUGGUUCAGCGGCCAAGCGAAAGCAUUAAGCAUCCCACCUGGGGAGUACGCCGGCAACGGUGAAACUCAAAGGAAUUGACGGGGGCCCGCACAAGCGGAGGAACAUGUGGUUUAAUUCGAUGAUACGCGAGGAACCUUACCCGGGCUUGAAUUGCAGAGGAAGGAUUUGGAGACAAUGACGCCCUUCGGGGCCUCUGUGAAGGUGCUGCAUGGUUGUCGUCAGCUCGUGCCGUGAGGUGUCGGCUUAAGUGC
rnacentral:rRNA from 1 species